GUCCCUGUAGCGCAAUGGAUAGUGUGCGUUGGGCUUCUAAUCCAAAGGUCGUGGGUUCGAAUCCCACCUGAGAUG